GUCUUCGGAUGCUGACGAGUGGCGAACGGGUGAGUAAUACAUCGGACGUGCCCGAUCGUGGGGGAUAACGAGGCGAAAGCUUUGCUAAUACCGCAUACGAUCUACGGAUGAAAGCGGGGGAUCUUCGGACCUCGCGCGGACGGAGCGGCCGAUGGCAGAUUAGGUAGUUGGUGGGAUAAAAGCUUACCAAGCCGACGAUCUGUAGCUGGUCUGAGAGGAUGAUCAGCCACACUGGGACUGAGACACGGCCCAGACUCCUACGGGAGGCAGCAGUGGGGAAUUUUGGACAAUGGGCGAAAGCCUGAUCCAGCCAUGCCGCGUGCAGGAUGAAGGCCUUCGGGUUGUAAACUGCUUUUGUACGGAACGAAAAGCCUCUUUCUAAUAAAGAGGGGUCAUGACGGUACCGUAAGAAUAAGCACCGGCUAACUACGUGCCAGCAGCCGCGGUAAUACGUAGGGUGCAAGCGUUAAUCGGAAUUACUGGGCGUAAAGCGUGCGCAGGCGGUUUUGUAAGACAGAGGUGAAAUCCCCGGGCUCAACCUGGGAACUGCCUUUGUGACUGCAAGGCUGGAGUGCGGCAGAGGGGGAUGGAAUUCCGCGUGUAGCAGUGAAAUGCGUAGAUAUGCGGAGGAACACCGAUGGCGAAGGCAAUCCCCUGGGCCUGCACUGACGCUCAUGCACGA
rnacentral:rRNA from 1 species